CCUACGGGUGGCUGCAGUGAGGAAUAUUGGUCAAUGGGCGCGAGCCUGAACCAGCCAAGUAGCGUGAAGGAUGACUGCCCUACGGGUUGUAAACUUCUUUUAUCAAGGAAUAAAGUUAGGCACGUGUGCCUUUUUGUAUGUACUUUAUGAAUAAAGAUCGGCUAACUCCGUGCCAUCAGCCGCGGUAAUACGGAGGAUCCGGGCGUUAUCCGGAUUUAUUUGGUUUAAAGGGAGCGUAGAUGGGUUGUUAAGUCAGUUGUGAAAGUUUGCGGCUCAACCGUAAAAUUGCAAUUGAUACUGGCAGCCUUGAGUACAGUUGAGGUAGGCGGAAUUCGUGGUGUAGCGGUGAAAUGCUUAGAUAUCACGAAGAACUCCGAUUGCGAAGGCAGCCUACUAGACUGCCACUGACAUUGAGGCUCGAAAGUGUGGGUAUCAAACAGGAUUAGAUACCCCAGUAGUC
rnacentral:rRNA from 1 species